rnacentral:rRNA from 1 species
GACGAACGCUGGCGGCGUGCUUAACACAUGCAAGUCGAACGGAAAGGCCCUGCUUUUGUGGGGUGCUCGAGUGGCGAACGGGUGAGUAACACGUGAGUAACCUGCCCUUGACUUUGGGAUAACUUCAGGAAACUGGGGCUAAUACCGGAUAGGAGCUCCUGCUGCAUGGUGGGGGUUGGAAAGUUUCGGCGGUUGGGGAUGGACUCGCGGCUUAUCAGCUUGUUGGUGGGGUAGUGGCUUACCAAGGCUUUGACGGGUAGCCGGCCUGGGAGGGUGACCGGCCACAUUGGGACUGCGGGACGGCCCAGACGCCUACGGGAGGCAGCAGUGGGGAAUAUUGCACAAUGGGCGGAAGCCUGAUGCAGCAACGCCGCGUGCGGGAUGACGGCCUUCGGGUUGUAAACCGCUUUCGCCUGUGACGAAGCGUGAGUGACGGUAAUGGGUAAAGAAGCACCGGCUAACUACGUG